CUUGAAAUCAUGUGCCCUUAUCUUUACAUAUUUGCUGUCAAGGCGCUACACAGACUGGGAAAGCCUGUAAUUAUAGCUGCUUCUUUAGUAUCAACUUUUCCCCUAGCAUACUGAGAGCUCAGCUGCCCACCAGCAAUGUGGAGCCGAUCAGGUGUGCAAGCUGAGGCAGCCAGAGCCCUCUCAGUCUCAGAAAUGAGGAGGGAGAGGAGGCCUGGCAUCUGAAAAGGCCACUUCUGUGCUUUCUGCUGGGCAGAGUCCCUGCAGCAAGGUGUCAUAUGUUUCAGGACCCUCAGAAGGGAGGGCUGUGAGGAGGAAGGCAGAGACGCAGCCUGCAGACCUUCGCACGGUGGCUGUUUCUGUGGUGACCGGGCUGGCCACCACAGCCUGCUGAGUGACAGCACAAGUCAAAGGAUCCACAUUAGUGCUUCUUACUGGUAAUGCUGACAGAAAGCCACUACAUGAGCCUCUUGAAGGAGGAACAUCUCGCAGACGUCAAUAAAAUAUUGAUGAUGGUAACUGUGAGAGUGAGGAAGGUAUAUUGUCCUGAGUCUUAAAGUGACACAAAUGAGACACAAAAUAAAUGGGCACUAGAUGUAAGUUCA
rnacentral:lncRNA from 1 species